CUGAGGUGUUUUUCAUAAUCAUACUUCAUGCAGGCUUAUAUAAGUGUAAUUUGUUUGUAUAAAUAAAACCAAACAGGUCUUGGAUGAUUAUAGAGGCAGUUCUUCUGUUUUCCUUCAUUCACAGUCCGACACAACCCUGCGAACCAUGAAGCUGGUGAUCCUGUCUCUAGUUGCGCUAUUGGUCAUCGAGACACUAGCGGCCCCUCAGGACGAGGUUGUACCCGCGGUGGAGGUGGAGAGUGGCAGUGAAGGAGUUUCUGAGCUAGACGAUUUAUCAGAUCUCACAACAGUUCUACCUGUAGAGGAGGACUCCUCGACUCCAGCAGACGAAGUAGUACCUGAAGAACUUGUGGCUAAAUGAUUAAAUCGAUUGUUUGUGUAUUAUUGUAAA